rnacentral:lncRNA from 1 species
GCAUUUUUUUUGGACUAAACUAUGUAUUACAACCAAUAAAUAAUUCGUCGAUAAUAUUCCUAAUUUAUCAACAAAUCAGAAAAUUUGUCAGUAAUUUUUGAUGAAUACAAAUUCAUAAAUAAACUUCUUUAAUAAUUAUUGAUGGUAAAAAAGUGUAUGUAAAUAUUGGUUAAUAAAUGUUAUAAUUGAAUUUUGACUAAUUCUUUUUUCUCUUCUUUUAUUUUUUUUUUUAAAUUUUUUUAUUCCUUCUUCCUCUUUUUCUCUUUUUCAUCGUCUUGUCCCUCCAAUGUCAUUUUCAUCACUUUCGAUUCUUCCUCCUCAUCUUCCUUGUAAUUCUUCACUUUCUCCUCAUGUUAUAAACUUCUCUUUCACACUUUUCUCCAACUCUGAUUCCCACCUGGAUGGUUGCUUUGCCACUGCACUAACAUCACGUCAUCGUCGUGCCUCCAUCGCCAUUGCCAUUAAUCCUAAGUUCUCCUCAUCCUCUUCCUCUUCCUCUUCCUCUUCCUCUUCCUUCUCACUCUCUUCUUCUUUUUUUUUCUUCUUCUCACCCAUUUUAUCUUAAUAUGUAAAAGAAUCUUAAAAGACUUGGUAGGAAAUUUGCAAUUCUUUUUACUAACAAAUUUGUCAAUUUAAAAAUC